UCGUUUCAAGGAUCUUCUGAGGAGAAGCCACAGCGACGGAGCCGUAACGACCUCGAGCGAAUCGAAACGGUGUCGUUUUAAAGAUCUUCUGAGAAGAAGCCACAGUGGCGGAGACGGGUCUUCGAUUUCGUCAAGCGGAAACGGAUCGCUGGCAGUGAAAGGAAAAAAUAAAACGGCGUCGUAUAAGCCUACGAACAUCGGGGAAGUGGAUAAGCGAAGAAAGACUUAUUUACCUUACAGGCAAAAUUUGAUCGGCGUUUUCGCCGGAAUAAGCAGAUUCCGUCAUUAGUGAAGUCGUUAAUUUACAAAUUGUUCCUUGUUUCAUUAAUUG
rnacentral:lncRNA from 1 species